CUACGGGCUGCUGCAGUGGGGAAUAUUGCACAAUGGGGGAAACCCUGGUGCAGCCAUGCCGCGUGUGUGAAGAAGGCCUUCGGGUUGUAAAGCACUUUCAGCGAGGAGGAAAGGUUGGUAGCUAAUAACUGCCAGCUGUGACGUUACUCGCAGAAGAAGCACCGGCUAACUCCGUGCCAGCAGCCGCGGUAAUACAGAGGGUGCAAGCGUUAAUCGGAAUUACUGGGCGUAAAGCGCACGCAGGCGGUUGGAUAAGUUAGAUGUGAAAGCCCCGGGCUCAACCUGGGAAUUGCAUUUAAAACUGUCCAGCUAGAGUCUUGUAGAGGGGGGUAGAAUUCCAGGUGUAGCGGUGAUAUGCGUAGAGAUCUGGAGGAAUACCGGUGGCGAAGGCGGCCCCCUGGACAAAGACUGACGCUCAGGUGCGAAAGCGUGGGGAGCAAACAGGAUUAGAUACCCCCGUAGUC
rnacentral:rRNA from 1 species